rnacentral:lncRNA from 1 species
CUUACUUUGUUCCUAUUCAUAGGGAACCCCCAUUUUAUCACUAUUAUAAAUAUCCACUAACCUUACAACAUCAUCCUUCUUUAGUAAUUUAAGGUAAGCAAUCGUACCAAUUUAUAUAAGAUAUUUGCCCAAGAUAUCCCUCGUCAUAUUGCACAUUUGCCCAAGAUAUCCACCAAGAAAAUGCACACGGUGUAGGUUUGCCAGCGACACAUCGUCAUCCAUCCAUUACAAUGCUUGAUGUCUCCUUGCAACAACCAGGACGAGCAGAAAAGAAUGCAUUCACU